GAUGAACGCUAGCGGGAGGCCUAACACAUGCAAGCCGAGCGGUAUUGUUUCUUCGGAAAUGAGAGAGCGGCGUACGGGUGCGUAACACGUGUGCAACCUGCCUUUAUCUGGGGGAUAGCCUUUCGAAAGGAAGAUUAAUACUCCAUAAUAUAUUGAAGGGCAUCGAUUAAUAUUGAAAGCUACGGCGGAUAGUGAUGGGCACGAGCAAGAUUAGCUAGUUGUUGAGGUAACGGCUCCCCAAGGCGAUGAUCUUUAGGGGGCCUGAGAGGGUGGUCACCCACACGGGUACUGAGACACGGACCAGGCUCCUACGGGAGGCAGCAGUGAGGAAUAUUGGUCAAUGGGUUCAAGCCUGAACCAGCCAUCCCGCGCGAAGUACGACUGCCCUAUGGGUUGUAAACUUCUUUUGUAUAGGGAUAAACCUACCCUCGUUAGGGUAUCUGAAGGUACUAAACGAAUAAGCACCGGCUAACUCCGUGCCAGCCGCCGCCGUAAAAC
rnacentral:rRNA from 1 species